rnacentral:rRNA from 1 species
UCUGGGAAACUGCCUGAUGGAGGGGGAUAACUACUGGAAACGGUAGCUAAUACCGCAUAACGUCGCAAGACCAAAGAGGGGGACCUUCGGGCCUCUUGCCAUCAGAUGUGCCCAGAUGGGAUUAGCUAGUAGGUGGGGUAACGGCUCACCUAGGCGACGAUCCCUAGCUGGUCUGAGAGGAUGACCAGCCACACUGGAACUGAGACACGGUCCAGACUCCUACGGGAGGCAGCAUG